CGUGCAAAGGUAGCGUAAUCACCUGUCUUUUAAAUAAAGACCUGUAUGAAUGGCAAGACGAGGGUUUUACUGUCUCCUCCCCCCAGUCAAUGAAAUUGAUCUACCCGUGCAGAAGCGGGUAUAAAAACAUAAGACGAGAAGACCCUAUGGAGCUUUAGGCAUAUAUCAAAUAUGUAAAAAACCAAAUUUUUCCAAAUAGGCCUAAAAAAUGAGAAAAACAAGUAUUAAUGAUUAAGUGCCUUCGGUUGGGGCGACCACGGGGAAAAAUAAAACCCCCACAUGGAAUGGGAAAAAUAACCCUAAGCCAAGAAAAACACUUCUAAGCAACAAAAUUUUUGACCAAUAAACGACCCAGGGACACCAUCCCUGAGCAAUGAACCAAGUUACCCUAGGGAUAACAGCGCAAUCCUUUCCCAGAGCCCAUAUCAACGAAAGGGUUUACGACCUCGAUGUUGGAUCAGGGCAUCCUAACGGUGCAGCCGC
rnacentral:rRNA from 1 species